CAGUGUGGUUUAGCAGUGAGUCAGGUGACGCAGCUAGGAAGUUAGUUUGUCUGCAAAAAUGUAUUUUUAAAUUUGGUCCAGGAUGGGACCAGACGUGUUCCAAUUUCCUCGAACAGCUUUAAAAGCUGGAAAACACCCAGCUAUUGUCCGUGACUUAGACACAGGGCUUCCCGGAGGGAGAGAAGUGCUUUUUGGAGGGUCCCUUCCAGCUCCGAGAUUUCUCAGAGCCUUUCCAUCUUAGGGUGUUGGAGAAACAAGGAGCACGUGCAGAGUCUGAGCCCCCCCCACCCCACACUCACACACACACGCACAGUGUGAUCGUUUCGGCAGCGAGCCUGCGUGGGAUGCACAAGAAAAGAGAGAAGAGCUCUGGUAGCUGCCUGCCAACCCCUGGAUCCCCGGAGUCCCUUGGCUUGUGGCUGCGUCACUUGGGUCUCGGCCUCUGUUUUCACAUCACCGUCUCCUCUGCGUGUGUCGGCCUCCUCUACCUCGGCCUCUCUGAUAAGGAAGCUCAUCGUUGCACCCAGUGUCCACCUCGAGAAUCCAAGAUAAGAUGGUUUUUUUCUUAAGAUUCCCAAUCACUUCCUUUUGCCUAGAAGGUAAUAUCCACAGGUUCUGGGGAUUAGGAGGGGAAGGUAUUUUUGGGAGACGUGUUUCCUGCCCAGCAGAGAUGGAAAGAACUCAGAGGAGAGGAGACAAGAAAGGAGUUCCUUGUUUCCUUACAGGUCUGUCUCACCAGUCAACCUUCUGUGUGUGGUUCUCCCCCAUUUAAAAGUUUCCAGAGGACCCGACCCAUACUAGGAUCACCUGGGAAUUUUAUUUUGUCUUUAAAUCAUUUUUUAAUUAAUUUUUAACAUUGUUUUUUAUUUGUGAGAGAGAGAGAGAGAGAGUGCACAUGGAGGAGGGGCAGAGAGAGAGAGGAAGGCACAGAAUCUGAAGCAGACUCCAGGCUCCGAGCUGUCAGCACAGAGCCCGACGCGGGGCUCGAAUCCACGAACGCCCAUGCCGCAAGCUCCUGGGGGCUUUUGCAGUUGGAAACCCGGAUGACCAACCUCGGUGACACCCCACAGAAGCCAUUCUAGCCCCCGUUGAAGCCAUAAAUAUAUAUUCAGAGUGAUAAAAAUCCAGCCCGACCACUACAGACGACAGUCCUAGAACGUAUCCCUCGAGGUUCCCAUAGAAAUAUCACCGCAAAAUGCUCAUUUACCAUCAUCCUUUCUAGACAGGGCCGUUUUGGUGAAAUGACUUUUGGAGAUACUGUCUUACCGUUCGCGGGUGUUUAUACCAGGCUCUUUAAAAUAGAAUGUUCUUUUCCUUUCAGAGC